AGAACGAACGCUGGCGGCAGGCUUAACACAUGCAAGUCGAACGCUCAUAGCAAUAUGAGAGUGGCGCACGGGUGAGUAACACGUGGGAACGUGCCCUUCAGUCCGGAAUAACCACUGGAAACGGUGGCUAAAACUGGAUAUUCCCUCCGGGGGAAAGUUUACGCUGAAGGAUCGGCCCGCGUUAGAUUAGGUAGUUGGUGGGGUAAUGGCCUACCAAGCCUACGAUCUAUAGCUGGUCUGAGAGGACGACCAGCCACACUGGAACUGAGACACGGUCCAGACUCCUACGGGAGGCAGCAGUGGGGAAUAUUGGACAAUGGGCGAAAGCCUGAUCCAGCCAUGCCGCGUGAGUGAUGAAGGCCUUAGGGUUGUAAAGCUCUUUUAUCAGGGAAGAUAAUGACGGUACCUGAAGAAUAAGCACCGGCUAACUUCGUGCCAGCAGCCGC
rnacentral:rRNA from 1 species